rnacentral:lncRNA from 10 species
GCAAAGUAUGUCAGAAAGCAGAUGGAAGCCAGGCCCCCUCCUGAAAGAGGCUCCUUGAAGAUAAUUCUAACAUCUUUGUCAUCAGUGUUGACAUCUCUUGAUUGUAUCCUGUCAUUCCAUUUGAGAUCUUCCUGGUUCUGGCUGGCAUCCUCUGACAUCACUCCAGCAGAAGAAAGGGAAGGAACACGCUGCAUUACUGCGUGGCUGGGAACCCUGAAUGCUGUAGUGUCACCACUGCCCUGUCCUGUACCUACCUAUCUUUUCACUCAUUUCCUCCAAGCUCAGGUUUUCAGUUUGGGGUAUGUGCCACCUAACAGUGAGCUGUGGAACUGCAGCACAAUCAUCAAAUUCAAAAAAGGCAAGGACAUCUUGCUCAGUUUUUAAGAUACGCCAUAGAUGGAGUAAACCAUAACCUUUGAUUCCAGAUCCUUAACCCUGAUUAAAAACAACACAACCCUUCAUGUUGAUUUAAAACAUCCCUUGCAAAAGAUGGUUUGAAUAUUCCAAGUUGGAAAUACCCAGUCUUUUAAAGUUACAGCACCCUUUUUGAUACAAAAAAUGUGCAUGACAGAAAUUGUACAGUGAGUAGUGUUAUAAAAAUAACCAAACACACCAAAA